rnacentral:piRNA from 1 species
UAUACCCUUCUCAGAUCUCUGAAA